rnacentral:lncRNA from 1 species
GUUUAGAAGGAUAUUUUAAAAAUAGAGAAAUAAAUUUAAAAAUUAUGAAUAGUAGCGACACUACAACAGAAUUAAGUUAUAGGAACACAUGUUUAGAACACUUUUAUGUAAGUAUCCCAUUUAUACCAAAACUUUAAAAAAAUCUACUAAUGCUUAAAUAUAAAUUCCAAUCCAAUCAAAAAUAAAAUGUUACUCUAUUCAACUCACCCCAUCCAGCCCAUUCGACCCGAUUACAAACAGAAAAGGAAAAAAAAAGAAAAACCGAUUACCAUUUUUCCUUCUCCCCUCAUUCAAUCGACUCAAAUCCUAGACGAAGAUUCCUUCCCUCGUCCUCCUCCUCUCGUCCUCCUCCGCUACCACAGCGAACGAGGUAGAGUUCCGGCGGUUGCUAAAUACUUAAAUAAGUGUUGGUAAAUUAGCAGCACUCUUUUUAGGUUAUAGCGACACUCUUUAACUGUCACUAUAUAUCUAGCGACCCACAUAUAGCAACACUUUUUAAAGUGUUAGUAAUUUAGCCAGCAGUACUUUUUUUGACCUAUACCGAUAUUUAAAAAUGUCGCUAUAGACCGUCUUUGUUAUAGUGGCGAGGUAUAUAUAAACAAGAGAAAUUUUUCCAUACAUGUUAUC